AAAUACUGGCUGGAUGAAUGAAUCUUCCUCCAAAGGAGAGGGAGGAUGUUGCCUCAUGUUCAUUGCUGACUCCCAGCUCCUAGAAGAAGCUCCACAAAUGUUUGCUGAUUGAAAUAAUGAUGAACACUAAGAUGGUGGAUUCUGCCACAAGUGAUUCUAGGGACCAGGAUGAGCAUCACACUUGGCUGGGAUCCUGGAGGAUAGAGAAUGAGUGAAAGGUACGAUACUGGACUUUUAGGAGUUUGGGAUCUAACUGGGAAGUUAUAUGUGCAUGGGUUGAAAUAUGCAGCUUAAGGCUUAAUGAAGCAACAGAUUAGCGAAGGCAAAAAAAAAGCCUAUC
rnacentral:lncRNA from 10 species